rnacentral:rRNA from 1 species
AUUGAACGCUGGCGGCAGGCCUAACACAUGCAAGUCGAACGGUAACAGGAAGCAGCUUGCUGCUUUGCUGACGAGUGGCGGACGGGUGAGUAAUGUCUGGGAAACUGCCUGAUGGAGGGGGAUAACUACUGGAAACGGUAGCUAAUACCGCAUAACGUCGCAAGACCAAAGAGGGGGACCUUCGGGCCUCUUGCCAUCGGAUGUGCCCAGAUGGGAUUAGCUAGUAGGUGGGGUAACGGCUCACCUAGGCGACGAUCCCUAGCUGGUCUGAGAGGAUGACCAGCCACACUGGAACUGAGACACGGUCCAGACUCCUACGGGAGGCAGCAGUGGGGAAUAUUGCACAAUGGGCGCAAGCCUGAUGCAGCCAUGCCGCGUGUAUGAAGAAGGCCUUCGGGUUGUAAAGUACUUUCAGCGGGGAGGAAGGGAAUAAAGUUAAUACCUUUGCUCAUUGACGUUACCCGCAGAAGAAGCACCGGCUAACUCCGUG